GAGGGUAUAGCUCAGUGGUAGAGCAUAUGCUUGGCAUGCAUGAGGUCCUGGGUUAAAUCCCCAGUACCUCCU
rnacentral:tRNA from 1 species